rnacentral:rRNA from 1 species
ACAAGCGGAGGAACAUGUGGUUUAAUUCGAUGAUACGCGAGGAACCUUACCUGGGCUUAAAUGUAGAGUGCAUGAGGUGGAAACACUUCUUUCCUUCGGGACUCUUUGCAAGGUGCUGCAUGGUUGUCGUCAGCUCGUGCCGUGAGGUGUCGGGUUAAGUCCCAUAACGAGCGCAACCCUUAUCGUUAGUUGCCAGCGGGUAAUGCCGGGAACUCUAACGAAACUGCCGGUGUAAACCGUGAGGAAGGUGGGGAUGACGUCAAAUCAGCACGGCCCUCAUGUCCAGGGCUACACACGUGUUACAAUGGCCGGUACAGAGGGCAGCUACCUGGGGACAGGAUGCGAAUCUCCAAAGCCGGUCUCAGUUCGGAUCGGAGUCUGCAACUCGACUCCGUGAAGCUGGAUUCGCUAGUAAUCGCGCAUCAGCCAUGGCGCGGUGAAUACGUUCCCGGGCCUU